UCCUACGGGGGGCAGCAGUAGGGAAUUUUCGUCAAUGGGCGCAAGCCUGAACGAGCAAUGCCGCGUGAACGAGGAAGGUCUUCGGAUCGUAAAGUUCUGUUGAAGGGGAAAAAGAGCGGAGAGAGGAAAUGGUCUCCGAUUGAUAUUACCCUUCGAGGAAGUCACGGCUAACUACGUGCCAGCAGCCGCGGUAAUACGGAGGGCGCGAGCGUUAAUCGGAAUUACUGGGCGUAAAGCGCGCGUAGGCUGUUGUGUAAGUUGGGGGUGAAAUCCCACGGCUCAACCGUGGAACAGCCCUCGAUACU
rnacentral:rRNA from 1 species